CCUANGGUGGGCAGCAGUCGAGAAUAUUCGACAAUGGGCGAAAGCCUGAUCGAGCGACGCCGCGUGCAGGAUGAAACAUUUCGGUGCGUAAACUGCUUUUCUACGGGAGGAAGUCCGGUCAUUCGUGAUCGGUUUGACAGUACCGUGGGAAUAAGUGGCUGCAAACUUCGUGCCAGCAGCAGCGGUAAUACGAAGGCCACAAGCGUUAUCCGGAUUUAUUGGGCGUAAAGCGCAUGUAGGAGGUUCGGUAAGUUUCUGGUUAAAUCUUAGGGCUCAACCCUGAGCAUGCCAGGAAUACUGCCAGACUAGAGGGUGUUAGAGGCAGAUGGAACGCACGGUGUAGGGGUGAAAUCCGUUGAUAUCGUGCGGAACACCAAAGGCGAAGGCAUUCUGCUGGGACAUUCCUGACUCUGAGAUGCGAAAGCGUGGGGAGCAAAAAGGAUUAGAUACCCGGNUANUC
rnacentral:rRNA from 1 species